AACGCGAAGAACCUUACCUGGGCUCGAACGGCUCACGAAAGUCUUUGGAAACAGAGAUUUCCCGCAAGGGACGGGAGUCGAGGUGCUGCAUGGCUGUCGUCAGCUCGUGUCGUGAGAUGUUGGGUUAAGUCCCGCAACGAGCGCAACCCUUGUCCUGUGUUGCCAUGCCGAAAGGCGGAACUCGCAGGAGACCGCCAGCGAUAAGCUGGAGGAAGGUGGGGAUGACGUCAAGUCCUCAUGGCCUUUAUGUCCAGGGCUACACACGUGCUACAAUGGCCGGUACAAAGCGUCCCGAAGCUGCGAAGCGGAGGCAAUCGCAAAAAACCGGUCUCAGUUCGGAUUGCAGGCUGCAACUCGCCUGCAUGAAGCUGGAAUCGCUAGUAAUGGCAGAUCAGCACGCUGCCGUGAAUACGUUCCCGGGCCUUGUACACACCGAGUAUA
rnacentral:rRNA from 1 species